rnacentral:rRNA from 1 species
ACAACGGGUGGAGCUUGCGGUUUAAUUGGAUUCAACGCCGGAAAUCUUACCGGGACCGACAGCAAUAUGAAGGGCCAGGCUGAAGACUUUGCCGGAUUAGCUGAGAGGUGGUGCAUGGCCGUCGUCAGUUCGUACUGUGAAGCAUCCUGUUAAGUCAGGCAACGAGCGAGACCCACGCCAACAGUUGCCAGCUCGUCCUCCGGGAUGGUGGGGACACUGUUGGGACCGCCUCUGCUAAAGAGGAGGAAGGAAUGGGCAACGGUAGGUCAGCAUGCCCCGAAUUAUCUGGGCUACACGCGGGCUACAAUGGGUGGGACAAUGGGUAUCGACACCGAAAGGUGAAGGCAAUCUCCUAAACCCAUCCGUAGUUCGGAUUGUGGGCUGCAACUCGCCCACAUGAAGCUGGAAUCUGUAGUAAUCGUGUCUCAAAAUGGCACGGUGAAUAUGUCCCUGCUCCUU